rnacentral:tRNA from 1 species
AUUUAUAUAGUUUAAAGUAAAACAUUACAUUUUCAUUGUAAAAAUAAUAUUUUUUUAUUUAUAAAUA